rnacentral:rRNA from 1 species
UACGUAGGGAGCAAGCGUUGUCCGGAAUCAUUGGGCGUAAAGCGCGCGUAGGUGGCCAUGUAAGUCCGCUGUGAAAGUCAAAGGCUCAACCUUUGAAAAGCCGGUGGAUACUGUGAGGCUAGAGUACGGAAGAGGCGAGUGGAAUUCCUGGUGUAGCGGUGGAAUGCGCAGAUAUCAGGAGGAACACCAAUAGCGAAGGCAGCUCGCUGGGACGUUACUGACACUGAGGCGCGAAAGCGUGGGGAGCAAACAGGA